UCCGAUAUAGUCUAGUUGGUUAGGAUACCUGGCUCUCAUCCAGGUGACUCAAGUUCGAGUCCCAAUGUCGACA
rnacentral:tRNA from 1 species